CUGAAAUAAUGAAAUAAUCAUCAUGUCCUCAAACUAAGAGGACUCACCACUAACCCUUUCCACUGAAUAUUUGAACUGCUAAGUAUGAUCGGGAGCUCGUGUAUCAGAACCUAUAAUAUUAAACAUCAUAGCACAAAAGAAAGGUAUACGUCAGUACUUUGAAUAUACUGGUAUGAAAAGUGAGGUAGGAUGAAAUACAUGGUUUCAUAUGCUUGAACAAUACUGACUGAAUAACAUGAGUAUAACUGAAUAAAAGUACAUGCACGAAUAUUAAACUGUAAUUGAGAUCGUGAUAACACUGGAUUACUGAAUCUGAAUAUUGAAUAACUGUUAUCUGAGCCUAUUGAUACUGAAUUACUAAUAGCUGAGUGACUGUAUUUGAUAGUCUUGAUUUUUUGAAACUAUACUAAAUUUCGUUUUGAGAUGAGUGACUGUAUCUAACAGUCUUAAUUUUCUUUAGAACAAAACUGAGUUCUAUACUGAGACUGAAACUGAAACUGAGACCAUGGGAAGUAGUCAUCUAACUGACAUGCCCCUCUCUAAACUUAUUAGGGUCCAACUUAUAACCCCAGCUGGAAGGGUAUCAGUAUCGUGCCAUGGGUAAAGACAAGCUAAGUCACCCUCAUCUAGCAGGUGCUCUGAAUGAGAAUGGUAGUACCCUCAACUAGCAUGUAGAUCACCUCAUCAACCCUAAAAUGCUGGGUUGAUGUCUUAACCUACAUUGGCUACAUAGUUCUAGAAUACAAGGACUGCUUUUAAGGAUCACGCCCUCUACUGGCAGGUGAGUCCCCAUCUGUGGGUUCACUCAGUGCUGAAUCCUACUCCUAACUUAAUAUACACUAGAUUGGAUUCUAGACUGUUCUAGGCUAGACUAAACUAUUUUUGAUUAAACUGUAUAACUAAACUAAACUAAGUUCAUUGGGUUUCGUGGACUGACGGAAUACUACUGAAUUAUGUUAACAGAAUAAAUUCUGUCAAUCGUGACAUGACUGAUACUAUCUUAUGACUGACCAUGAAUCUAGGUAAAUAGCUAAAUUAUCUGGUAUUAAAUACCUCCAGGACUCGAUAGCAUAAAUUAUAUGACAUGGCACAAUAUUGAAACAUGAUAAAGAACUACUUGAUCAUCAUUCAUUCAUAGGGACUUUCUAUCAAAACACUUGCAUGACAUGAACUUGAAUACAUGCUAACAUGAUAUAAUUUCAUUAUUUAAUUCUCAUGAACAAUUCAUCAAGAACUUGAAGGAAAUAAUGAAAUAAUCUAUGCACAUGACACUAAAACAACAUGUACACAUCAUAGUUCAAUUCCACAUUUACAACUUCAAGGGUUUGAACAUGGUUUCGCAUGAUAAUGCACACAUAUCAAUCAAUUCCACAUGGAUCUUGUAGUAAAUCAUGAACUAGAAACCCCAUUAACAUGGUAAUUAUAAACACAUUCAGAUUCAACCAUGAACUUUAUCAAACUCAUAACUUGUAGUUAAAAGGGUCUCUUAAACUCCAAGGGUGGAAGAGAAUCCUUGGGUGAACACUUGACAUACCUUGGUUGCUAAAUUCCUGAGGAACAAUGGUGGAAAUAUUAAGCCUUGGCCUUAAAAUUAAAUCACAUAGGGUUCUCAUUCUUGAGCAAUUUAAGAGAAAGUAAGUAUAUUUUGCUUAAUAAAGGCUGAAUCUCAUAUUUUAGGGCUCAAUAGGGGUGGGGAAAAAACCCUAAUACCCCCGAGGACGUGGCUAUUUAAUUACUGAAAAACAUGAUUGUCGACACGCAGGGCGACACACCUAUCAUUGGUAUCGACACGAUAGCUAAUGCAUUGAGUUGGUUCAUUUGAAAUUAUCACUGGGACCCAAGAAAAAAUAUUAAUCGACACGAUGGCCGAGGUUCUGCCCCAAGAUCGCAUCGAUACAUUGUUUUGGACUCCUAAACAUGGUUUAAAUGAGUUUCAAAAAAUCCAAAACUCGUUCGGGAACACCUACUUAUAUUCCUGAUCAUGAAUCAAUCUAAAAAUUGAUACUUUAAGGUCAUAAGAGUCAUGAAAUAGAGUUGCCAACUUAUGAAGGCCGAAAUAAUACUAAGUCUGAAUACUUAGCUAGAAUUUCCUAAGUCUGGGACCCCUUAGCAAGCUUAAAAGACUGAGUUGAGCUUAGGAUUUUGCGGGGUCUUACAAUGUGCAACUUUUGUUAUAAAUAAUCAUGUUUUCCUAUAAGAAUGUCUUUAAUUUGAAAGAAAAGAUGACCACCGUAGAUAAAAGCAUUUAGAGAAAAUUAUUGAUUUUUAAAUAUUUUGAAUGUUGAACUUUCAUUUAAUAAUUGGAUUGUUUGGUGGUCAAUCAAUACCUUUUGUAAUAAGAUAAGGGCAGUAGAGAUAUUGUUACUUGGCUUGCAAGUCUGGGUAUGCCGAUACCCUAUUUUUGAUGUGCCCGAAGAUAUUAAGAAAGAAAUAACUUUUCAAAGAUUCUAAAACUAGGCUUAAGAAAGUUACAUGGUUACCUAAAGAAGGAACGAGUUAGAUGACUCAUUGGCCAAAAUCAUGAUUUUCCAACACGGGUUCAUGUUUGCUGGAAAAGGAAUUGUACGUUGGCGACGACCCUGUGGUAUAGUAUAGAUACUAAGACUCCAACCUUUGCAGCAAACUUGGAUUGGGGGAUUUGCUGUAAGUCAGGGGCGGAUUCCAUUUAGCCCAUGAAAUUACAGAUUGUAGGGUGUAUCAUCUAGCUUAGAAGAGAAGAAUGAGCAGAGUCAGGAUUUUGAAGAAUCUGUUUUGAAAGAUAUCAAAUUAUGCCCAUGUGUUUUCAAAUUCUUUAUGAUGAUAACUUUUUUAUGAAAUGCUCUCAUAUAUGUUGUAUAAAAAAUGAAUUUUGAUUUUUGGAUUGCUCUCAGUACCAAUACAUUUGUAUUGACCCCCUAUCUUUCAGGAUCUGAGGCUCAGUCCCGGGUUCCCGCUAAGCAGCCGAUCGAUUUGUCAGAAGUUUGCAGUUGGUGAGUCUCCCUUGUUCCGGAAGGCCUUGUUCUACGAAAUAUUGUCAGUGGGUUUUAUUUCAUGGUCCGACCGGGAGCCUUGUCUCUAUUUUCAGAUAGAUGUUGUUUUCGUAUAGUUAGAGAUCUCGCAGGCUAAUGUUAGAUAUUUUUGAAUGUUUAUGGAUUCAUACUCGUAUUGUUAGAUGAAAUAAGAGAAUGACCAUGUUUUCGUAUUAAUUUUUUACAUUUCAAUAGUAGAUGAAGUAUGCACAUGAUUGUCAAAUAGAAGAGCUCACGGGCCUUCACGAUUCAGGAUGCUCGUCAUGGCCAAGGCCUUGGUUCGGAUCGUGGCAGGUUCAAAUUAUUUUGAAGGGAAAUAUGAUCAGGAAAGAACUACUUUUAGGAUCAAAAUUAUUCUAAUCAUGCAACCGCGAGGAUGAAUUUCAAGUAUGAGUAAAGCUUUGACAUUUCUUCAGUAUGCUGACAAGAUUAAAAAGGCCAGACAUUGAAGAAAUUAUGACAUUAUUUUAUCGCAGUUGGCAAGAUUGUUAUCUACUAAAAGAAUGUUGAACCAUCUCUUUUGAGUGUGAGAUCGAUACACUAUAAAUUUAAUAGUUUAUGACAUUUAAAAGAAGAAGCUAAGUAUUCUCAAAAAAUCGAGUGAGGAUUUGCAGGUAGGCCGACUAGGCACUAAUGUCAAUGAGAUUUGAAUUUGAGGAGCUAUAAAUUUAUGCUCAUGAAAAUCAUUAGAGAGCGUCUUUGAACUAUUCUAGAAAAUUUCUCCAAAUUUAUGCUCGUGAAAAUCAUUAGAGAGCGUCUUUGAACUAUUCUAGAAAAUUUCUCCAGUUUUAAACACCGUAGAAAUUAUUUCAAAAUAAUGAAGAGACCGAACCCAAAUACAGGGUUACCUACGUAUCUUGUCAGGAAAAGAGUCAAGUCAAAACGUAGUACAAACCUAUUGGUGAUGUUGCUAAUGUGCAUCUUUUAACUAAUCCAACAUGCAGAACAAAAUUUAAAUUAUACCUUCCCAGUAAAGUAUAAACAAUUUAGAUUAAAUAGCUAACAUAUAAGUAUAAUAUCUUUAAAUAUGUACAGAGACUAUGGUAAUGCAUCACUUGGGUCGUGAACCCUACGAACAUUUGGAUAAAGUAGACUAAUAUGCAUGUACUUAAAUGUGUUGUUUUUGCUCUAUAUAUGUUGACUAAAAGUAGGUAGACACAGACUUGAAUUUCUUAUAUGAGAAGACACGUGAUCCCAUGACAGUAAAACUCCCACUCGCUCCUCGUAUGAGCCAACACUCUAAAGUAAGGUGAUUUGAAAGAAUAUUGGAAAAGUACAAUAUACAUCCGCGUGUACAAUGUGUGUGAGUGUUAGUUUUUCGAAGUGGAGAAAAAAUGAAUGAAACGUCAAUUUAUAUAAUAAACAAAUAAAUAAUCAAUAUAAAAUAAUAGCAAAUAAAUAAUUUAUGCCACAUAAAUAUGAUAAAUAAAGAGAAAUAGAAUGAAAUAAAUAAAAACGUAAAAAAACAUAAAUAUUUAUCCAAGUUUGUAGUGGUUAGAACCUUGCGUCCCAGCAGAGUCGCCAAACUGUCAUACCCUAUUUUUACCUAAUUCAAAACAAGUAUGACAUUAUGAACUCUAAAAACAUUGAUUAUGUACAGAGUCACCACCUAAUAUUUAAGAAAAAAUAGAAAACCUAUUUAUUUAUUAACAAGUAGGGGUGGGCAUGGUACAGUACAGUAUGACAUUUUAAACUUCGGUAUGGUAACUUUGAUUUUCGGUAUCUAAAAGAACAAUACCAUUAUCAUACAAAAUUAGUUCAGUAUGGUUCAAUAUUUUUAAAUUCGAUUUCGGUAUUUUACGGUAUGAUAGUUCAGUAACCAUACUUUAUUUGAUUUCUAAUUACAUAGAUUCAUAUAAAAAAACUAUAACGUUAAAUUUUUAAUAUGUCUCAAUCAUGUUAGGCUAACAACUAUCUUUGUUAAUAAAUUACAGAAAAAUAACAUUUCAAUCAUGAUUGAAUAGUUCGAGAUGCAAACUCUGAACAACAAUACCUAAACUUAAGCAUAGUACUCUUAAAUAAUAAGCUUCCCAAAAAAUUUAUUUUAGAAUAAAAGCUACUUUUGUAUACAAUUGGCUAAUGAAUAAUAUAUAAAUAUAUUUAAUAAUCUUAAUAUAUAAUAUAUAUGAGUUUUGUAUGUUAUUAAAAAAUUUCGAUGCCGUAUCAGUAUUUCGAUAUUUAUUGCAUAAAUACCAAAUACUAUAUCAAAUAUCAAAAUAAUUUAAAAUUCCUACCAAAUACCAAACCAAAUACCAUAACAUUUCUACCACGGUAUAAAUUUUUUUUGGUUUUGGUCUGGUAGUCAGUAUAUACCAUACCAUGCCCACCCCUAUUAACAAGUAUGACUAUUUAAUUAAUGAACCAAUUUAGAUUCCAAAUAUUUUAAAGAGAGGGGAUUAUGCACCCUUCAAAAUCCACAAAUGGGAUUCCUGCCAGACUUAAGUUAAUAAGAGAGAAAAAGAAAGAAAUCAAUGUUUGUAAAUACAAAUAUAAAAUAUGUAUUAGAUAUAAUGCGUAUAUUAUUGUAAAAAUAUAUAAAAGUACGUGGGGAUAUAUAAACAAAAUUGUAUGAAAAGAAAAGACAAGAUUAAAUAAAAAAAAUUAUUUAAAGAAAACGAUUAUGCAAUAUCUUUUAAUGCAAAAGUAUCGAUUAAUUGAUUAAAUAUUUAAAUUAAUUUAAUAUAAAUAUUAACGGCCUAAAUUUGCCUAAACGUGUGAUUAAAAUUAUGUAAGUAAAGUAGCAACCCAAUGUCCCCAAAAUAAAUAUUUCACUAUGAUUAAUAUUUGUACAAGUGUAAGAAUAUAAAAAAUAUAAACACACAAUUUAAAGUCUUCUUUUGAAUGCUAUUCCCGAUAAGUAUUCCCAAUAACUUGCGUAAACACUUGUAAUAAAAAUGUUAAUAACAAAUAAAUAAUUAUCAAAAUAAAUUGAAAAGGUAUGUGUGCGUAUAUGUAUUUAAAAAUAUAUUUUUUGUUAAAAGUGGGCUCGAAUAAAAUUUUAAAUAUUAUAAAGAUUUUAUCAUCGUAAAAUUUAUUUAUUUUAUUAUGUAUUUAUACACGUAAUAUCUGUCUUUUUAUUUAUGGAGGCCUAAAAAAUAGACCAAAAAUUUUUUCAUCGGCCUUGUAUUAGUUUCUAAAUGCAAAAAAAUAUACGACAAAGAAUAAACAAUGGCCAAAAUAACCAAGAACAUAGAUCAAAACAAGAUAUUAUCAACUAGUAAUAAAUAGACCUAUGAAAAACUUUCGAUAAAAUAAUGUUCAAACUUUCAAUUGCAUACCAAAUCACUGUUCACGAGCAAUUAAAAGUAACAUAUAAGAAGUGCAAAAAAGUAAAGAUAAAAUGUUCCUAACAUUAACAUAGCAAUGAUACAAAAAAAUAAAAAAAUAAAGUGACAACGACCAAAAUCAACAUAAAGAUGUACAACAAUAAUCCAAAUAGUGGUUAAUACAUUCAUAGACAAAAUAACAAUUUUGAUAAGAAGAAAAACAACAAACUAAUAGCUUAAUUUCAAUCGAAACAAAAUUAGAGAAAUUAAUAAAACCAUCAACAACAACAAGCUAACAAGAAUAAUUUUUUUAAAAUAAAAUAUCAAAGUUCACCAAAAAGUUCAAUCCAUAUUCUAUCUACUCAUACACACAAAAUAAUGAUGGACAAGAAUGAUUAGAUUUCACCGAGAAGGCCGUAUUCGAGCUAGAUCUGGCGAUUUAACAAUGCGGUUGGUUGGUGGCUGAAAGUGGGGGAGGUUUCGUCAGUUUCUGGAUGGCAGUUAGCCGGAGAAAAGACAGCGGAGAGGGGUCGCCAGCGAUGGUUAAGGCUGGAAUGGGACGGCGCGGUCGAAAAAUGGGGAACGAAGGAGAAACGUAUGACUGUUGUUGGUCUUCGCCGGGGAAGACUUGGCAUGGAGAUUCGCCGGUAGGUGGUUUAUUCUUAGAGAGAGAAAGAGAAAAGAGAGAGUUUGAGAGGUAUCGCUGGGUGGUCCACCGAAAUUCGGUGGUGGCGGCUGUUGGAGAAGGCAAUGAAGAUGGAGAGGGUAGAGAGAAAGAGGCGUUAAAUUCCUUUUUUUUGAGAGAGUGAAUAAUCUGAUUUUUGUGGGUGUAUGUAUUGUGUGUGUAACAGACGAUUGGCCCUCCAACUUGUAUUAAUGAUAAAUAUUGACCCCUUUCUUUACCGAAAAAUAAAAAUCAAAUUUCUCUUGUCCC
rnacentral:lncRNA from 1 species